CAAAAUCAUUCAAAACCUGUAUAUAGUGGACAACUAUAUUGUAUAAAUAUUUGAUGAUUUUAUGUUAAAGCAUACCAAAAUUAUUCACCAAACCCUGAAGUUUUUAGAGCAUUUUGACCAUUUUUGCAUUGUUUCCAUGGUAACAGCAGACAUUUUGGAAAUUCCAACGCCAAAUUCCACAUCUACCAAUGUUGCUCAUCGUUACCAUGAAGUUUCAAAAAAUUUGGAGCAUUUUGAUAUUUUUGAAAUUUUUGGUGUAGUUUCCAUGGCAACAUAGUAGUUCCAAUGAUUGCCAAAAUCAUCCAAAACCAGUAUAUGGCUGGCACCUACAUUGUAUUAAAAUAUGAUGAUUCUGAGUUUAAGCAUCUCCAAAUUAUUUACCAAAACCAAAAACUGGAAUUUUUCACAAUUGUUCCGUUUCCAUGGAAACGGCAGCCAUUUUUUAUGGUCUUAGACCCUACUGCAACCCGGAAUUUUGUGUUCCUCAUUAUAGUAAACUAUCAUUAAGAUUGGUUCCAUUGGCUCCAAGAAAACUGCCGGACAAAAUUAGGUGGAAGAAUAAUAAUAAAAAAAAGAAACAGAGGAAAAGCAAUAUGUCACCCGACAUUGUCGAUCGGGUGACAUAAUAACUAGAAUUGCCAUUGCAAGCAAUAGCGGAUGUCACCCUGGUCUGCAAAUUGACACUCAACAGCAGCCAUUUCGAAAUUGUCCAUCAGUAAAUGCAGAUUUUUGCAUACAUUGUAUCUUCUGUUUUAAAUUCCAAUGAAUUUGGAGCAUUUUGAUAUUUUUUGUAUUUUUGCUGUUUCCAUGGUAACGGCCGCCAUUUUAAAAAUUCCAAAGUCAAACUACUGCUGCAUAUUGUUCUCCCAUGAUAAUAUACAAUUAUAUAACAUUUAAUGUCGGUAGAACUAGUUUAACACUUAUGUUCUGGAAUGUUCCAUGAAAAAUUCACCCCCCUCAAAUUAUGUCUAGAGACCCCCCAGUUGAAAAAAAAAAUGUACCAUGUUGAAGUGUGCAUGGGUCUCUUAAUAUCAUAGAAGUUUCAUAUAAAUUGGAAC
rnacentral:lncRNA from 1 species